AAUUUAAUCUGCUCAGUCUCUGAAGAGUCUAAAUCAUUGGCCUUUGGGCAAAUCCUUCUUGAGUUUCCACAAUAUGCCAAGCACUGAACCAGGCCUAGAGUUUACGAUGAUGAAUAAGCCAGCAAGGACACUGACCACAUGGAGCUCCAUCUUCCAGUGGAAAGAAGCUUCUAAACAGGUAAUUGCAUCAUAACUGACUCUUUUAUUCACCUCCCAAAAUUUAGGUCUUCACCAGACUUCCAGAUUAAAGUCAACUUCUCAAAAUCCACUAUUUGUGCUCAUUAAGGACCCAUCACUCCCCACAUCGUUGCUGUGUAAGCCCUCAGCAUCAACUUUGACAAUUUCCUCCACCCCACAUCCCAAGAUCUACCUCAUCCUGCGCAUUUCUACCUCUGAAAUGUGCAUACCCACUCCCCCUUCUUUCCAGCCAUGUUGCCUCCACCCAAGUUGAAAUCCUUACUCCUUCUAUUGCCACUUCAUUUAGGGUUCAUUUGCAGAAACAGAAGCUACUCAAGCUAGUUUGAGCACAACUCAGGUUUAGGUGGCUAACAAAUUGUUGAAAAGGCUGGAAAAGACAUUUGAAACAGAGCUUCCAGGAACAACAUCCAACUCUUGGAAUCCUAUUACCUCUGUCAAAAAUUGGAAAGCAAUUCCUGUCGCUACAGAAGUCCUCGAAUCAGGAAGCAAGUGACCCUGGCACGUGUUGCCUCUGUAUCAUCCAUGUCAGCAAAAUGGAUCCUUGUCCAGAAGUCCAGCUACAAAGAAGUGUGUGAAUUAUAGGUCCCAGCUUUCCAGUCUUAGUGGUACAGGUUAGAAUGUAUGUUGAGAUGCUAGUCCUCGAUGUCUCCUUCACCUCCUAGCUGGGCUCCCAGCUUCCCUGCUCUUCCCCACAGUUCCAUUCUCUUUAUUGCUUCCAGCUCCACAGCUCAAAAGCUUCUGAUGACUCAUUCUCUCCGCUGAAUUAGGUUAAAAAGCCCUUGCCUGUCAUUCCAGGCCCUCUGUGAUCAGGUCCCAACUUGUUUUCCUGGUUUAUGUCCCAUUCUACUCCUACAAUUUCUUCUACAUAUUCUGCUCUUUCCCAUCUCGUGCUUUUGUGCAUCCUCUACCUUUCCCACCAUCACUUCCCAUUAAAAUACACAACAGCCUUCUAGGCCCAGACCAAAUGUCACUUCCUUUCUAUAUUCUCCUCUGAUCCUCUUAACCAAAGUGACCUCUCACUACAGCUCCAGAGAGCUCCUCCUACCACUUUAUUUAGACAUUGCAUCUGGAGACAGAGAUGUGGGUUGGAACCCUAGCUUCGCCUGGGCAAGUGAGGUCAUCCUGGACUCAAUGCCUCAGUUUCCUGCCCUAUAAAAUGGGUUAAUAAUACUUCAUAGGUUUGUUGGAAGGACCAGUUGAGAUAAGGACCUAAGCUGCUAGUGUACACGCUGGACAGAUGGCAACUACUGUAGAGUGUUGUCUUGUUUAUCUCUGUACCGCUCCCCCAGGUGCUCAAUAAUACUUGUGUAAUGAAUGGACAGGCCAAACCAAGCAGCAGUAUUGACCUUAGGCAACCUAAGGUCAAACCAAGGUGAUACUUGGUCCCUCCCUGGUUGAUAUCAGGGCUCUGGGUGGGGUCGGUUUAGGACACAGGUAUGAGCAGACGAAGAGUUUCCAUUUGUUUUAUCAAGUCAGGAGAAGUAAAGCUAAGAGUUUUGACAGUUGGGCUAGGGCACAGCCCCCCGGUGUAGGUCACAGCGAUUACCAGUGCCUCAUGAGUCAACAACAGUUUGGGAAAGAUCCCUCCAAAAGCGUUUGUUUGGAGGGCUCUUAUCUCUGUGCCUAGAGAAGGAGCCGUCUAAACUCAGAAACGUAGAGGGAGGCAGGAAGUCUCAGAUCAGGUACAUUCCCAUCUGAACCCCAGUGGGAAAUAGUCCUGCAAUCUCAGAUGCUGCUGGAGGAGUGAAAAUUGAAACAGUCCACUUUGCAAACCCAUUUGGCAGUGUUUGUUACAUAUGAAGCUGCACAUACCCUAUGGCCCAGCAGUUCCACUUCUAGGUCCCCACCCUAGGAAGACGCCCUCAGGAGACUCGCUCAAGGAGAUGCAUUGCUGCACCGUUUGUCAGAUCAGGAAAUCAAAAACAACCUGAGCAUCCAUCAAUGAGGAAUAAAUAAAAUGUGGUGCAUUUAACUGUUAAAAUACAAAAUGGUAAAUGUAAAAGCAUGAACUAGAUUUUUGUAUAUCAGUGUGGUUUUAAAAAUAUAAUUGUGAGUGAAGAAAACAAGUUGCAGAAUGAUGCAUUCAGAAUGAUACCAUUUAAAGAUAUACCACCAAUAAUGUAUAUUGUUCUGGGCUACAUUUAUGUACAAGCUUUAAACAAUGGGCUCAGGGGACACGUGUUAAAUUAGUCAUUGUAGUUACUUCUGGAAAGAAGAAUUAGACCAGGAGCCAAGAGGACUUAAAAUUUUAUCUGUAAAGUUUUUUCUCUUUUAACUAAAACAAAAACAAAAUUUAAAGCCUGAAAGGACAAAUAUUAACAACUGAAUUUAGGAUGAUGGUUGGGACAUAAGAACACUAUUCUAUAUUGAAAAGAUUCUUUUUUCUCAGAAAACAAAAAUAUGGCCAUGAGUCUGGUUUGGUACCUGUACAUGUACGUGUGUUGUGUUGUGUUGUGUUGGGUGGGGAGGCUUUGGUGAACAGCCGUGACCACGGUUGUCCAGGAAUAUUUACUUGCAGGCAACAGAAAUUAAUCACUGCCCUGGCAUUUAAAUUUGAACAACUUGUUGAGGUUCUUAAACACCUACAGGCCCCUUUGACCCUCUGAUGAAAGCUAAGUCCUCUUGAGUCCCAGGAGAAGAAAUGCUCAUACACACGAUUUGGCAUGUCAUUUCAGGGGCUUCGUAGCCCUCAGGUUAAGAGUCGGUACUACUGGAGGCUGUCCAGAGGUCGGCUUUUUUUGACCUCCAGAACAGCUGUUAGAAAUGCACAGUGAAGAGACCAGGAAGACUUGUUAAAAUAAUAUAUAAACACAACGCUCUCUUUGCACAAAGACAAUCUGGAGUGAGUGUGUGUAUAUGUGUGUGUGUGUGUGUGUGUAAAAGCUGCUGAAACCCUAAAAAAGUAAACACAGCUUUUUGGAGCUCUCAGUUUGCAUCCUGAAGUGUAAUGUCAAUAAGUCGGAUCACUCUGGGAAACUUGACACUUAAGAAGCCCAGCUUCUGCCAGUGUAAACGCCAGGGUCCCAGUCCUCAGAUUCAGCUUCCCUCAGCCUGGAGCAGGGAAUUGAGAGAAACUUGUCUGGUCUUGCAGAAGGACUGUGGAGUCUGUUCUUGGAAGCACUGCACGGGGUCUGGCUUGCUGCACAGCCAGCCUCUGUCUCCCCUUGCUAGAAGGCCUCAGGGUUUCGCCAACAUCCCUGAUGGGACAGAGCCUUCUUUGGAGGGGCCCAUGCAGCCCCUUUUUGUCCCCUGACCUCAGGCUGGGACUCAGAUGGCUUUUUAAACUAAACACUUUUUUUAAAGACUGGCACCUGAGCUAACAUCUGUUGCCAACCUCUUGUUUUCUUUUUUCCUUCUUCUCCCCAAGGUCCCCCAGCACAUAGAUGUAUAUUCUAGUUGUAGAUCCUUCUAGUUGUGGCAUGUGGGCCGCCACCUCAGCAUGGCCUGAUGAGCGGUGCCCUGUCUGCGCCCAGGAUCUGAACUGGUGAAACCCUGGGCUGCCAAAGCGGAGCACACGAACCUAACCACUCGGCCACGGGGCCAGCCCUUAAACUAAACAUUUUUUUAAACAAUCUAUUUGGUAUUUGGAGUUUUUGAAUUUGACUUCUAGCAAAGGAAGAAAAACAGAGGAAUGUCAUUAAAAAAUAAUUCUGAAAAUUUUUAGGUCUGCUGCGUUUUUUCCAGGUGACACAAAG
rnacentral:lncRNA from 1 species